rnacentral:rRNA from 1 species
UAUUUUAGUCUUGUUAGAGGAACCUGUUUUAUAAUCGAUAAACCACGUAUAUCUCACUUAUUUUAAAUAACUUGUAUACCGUCAUUAUUAGAUAACUUUCAAAAAAUUAGUUAUUAAAAUUAAAUAAAAUUAAAUAUAUUAGAUCAAGGUGCAGUUAAUAAAUAAGAAAAAAUGGGUUACAAUAAGAUUUAUUUAAAACGAAUUAUAUAAAUGUAAAAAUAUAUGAAGGAGGAUUUAAUUGUAAUUUUUCUUAUAAAAUAAUAAUAUGAUAAUAGCUCUAAAAUAU